CUGAAUAUCCAAAAAAGAGAAAAAACCCAACUCUUCAAGCCACACACACCACAAGCCCGUCCUCUCCCCGCACCCUUCUUCCCUCUUCCUCCUGCUGACCUCCCGACCCAAAGAUCUCCUCUGAUCUGCCGCCGCCUCCCCUACAGCCGCCGCCGCGCCGUGCCUUAGCGCCAGCCACCGCCGACCCUUCGCCCCCCCCCCCCCUACCCCACCCCCUCGUACUCGCGCCCAUCGCCGCUCCCGGUUGCCCUCAUCGUCACAUCGCGUCCCCGCCGUCUCCGCCCCCGCCGCAGUCUUUGGGUUCUGAGGAACAUACCAUGGAGAUCAGGCCAAUGGUAGCCCUGCGUGCUGCCCUAGUAGGCGGGGUAGCUGCAUUCGCAAAGAUCGCCGGGGCGAUGAAAGCUGCAGGCGGCGUGAAGGUUGGUGCGGCGGCUGCAGCCAUGACAGCCGCCGCGACGGCUGCCGUAUCCGGAAAAGAUGCGGGUAAUGAUAACCAAAAGCCGGGGGCAAAAUGAUACAACCUGCCAUGGAUUUGCUGGAGAAGCAGUGUUCUAAAAUGCUUCUCCAUAGCGUGUAGACCAGCAUUCAGCAGUUUAUCAGUGCUGAAGAGCUGCGGAAGCUAAUCGUGGCCUUCGGGAGGAGACUGCAUUCACAAUAAAUAAGUUUUGCCAGCGCAAUUCCCAUGAUACAUGUGUUUUUGUAACUCAGGGUAUAAGAAUUAUGAUAUCCUGAUUUUCUUCUUCUUCUUGAUUGUUUUGCUCCCAUGAUACAUUAUAAUCAGUGCUGAAGUGCCCUGAAACUAGUGUCAGGUACCAAAUUGCUGUGUCUAAACGGUUCCUCAGUAAACGGUUCUAUUAAGCACAUGUUCAGCAUUUGCUCGCGACC